rnacentral:lncRNA from 1 species
GCCACCACCACCACGCCCUCAGAGCCACUCUGCCACCACUAAAGCCGCCCCCCGCACACCAGCGACACUGCAACGCUAGCGGCCCGCGCCCUCGGAGCCACCCCACGUGCCACCGAUGCUACACCGCCAGCGGGUCCGCUCCACUGGACCCGCCUAGCACUCAUGAGAGAGAGGGAGUUGGAGAGAUAGAGGGAAAGGGAGUGAGAGAGACACAAAGGGAUGCAGAGGGAGAGGGAGUGUCGGCAAGAGUGGAUCUGAGGGAGAGGGAAGGGAAGCGGGAGUGGGAGGGGCGUUAGGAAUGGGCUAGUGAGAGAGACCUAGGGUUUCUUACAUUUAUAUAGCGUGACCACUUACUGGCCAAGUGGGCUUUCUACUAGGCUCGACCACUAUUAACCGAGGCGGGUUUUAUAAUUGGGCCACCUCCGAAAAUGGUGGUAUUUGUGGAAGCGGGCCACUUAUAAAACCCAUCUCGGUUAAUAGAUUUUUGAAGGCGGUUAUUUUUAACCGUCUCCGUAAAUCGAUUUUGCAAGACAGUUGUUUGUAACUGCCUCGGUUAAUAAAAAGCGACCGGUGGUUUAAAAUCAUGCCCGCCUCCGAAGGGGUUUUGAAAAGGUUACAAUUUUUUUAGUAGUGUCUCAAGCCAUCCGAACCUAAGUCCGAACCUAUUAACCUGUUUGAAUGAGGUGUGGAACGGUGUCAUCUCGCACUUCGUAGUUAAAGACUGAUGUUCAUUCUUUUGGAAUCAACUCAUCAUUCGCUGGAAAAACAGGAGCCACCUCGUGUGAAGCCAUGAUGAACCGGACAGCUUGAUCCGGCAAACCAAACAGCCUAUUGGAAUUCUAGUCAAGUUGAGUCAUAUAAAUGUUUAAGAAAUAUAAGUGACAUAAUAGUUGGUGAGUGUUCUUUUGGAGCGCAUGUCCUCAUAGACCAAAGUGCUCAUAAUUCAGCUAUUUGUUAGCUCGUUAAAUUAGCUCUAGUACAUCUAAAUAGGAAGGUUAAUAGGUAAGCUAAUUUUUUAGUGAAGUCUUUAACUAGUUGUUAACUAAUUAAGUAGCCAAUAAUCAUAGCUAUUUUGAACUAAUUUUUAGCCCUAACUAGUAACUUCUUUUAGAUAAUAAAUAUAAAACUUUGCCUCUCUAUCUGCCUGGGAUAUACAGAGCCAAAAGUUACAUGAGCUCUUAGGCUCAAAGCCUCAAAAUAGAGGAGCAAAAACAACAAGAAAUAGCGUUUAGUGACUAAAAAAGCUAGAAAGACUAAGCUUCAAAACUUUUUCAUUUUCCUUGCUUUCAACUUGUCUUGAUCUUGCGUAGAAGCAACUCUCCACCUCAUAUGUCUUCAAGCGGCACUACUACAAAAAUUCUUAUCUGUGGUGGGCACUUUUGGUUUUCCAUGGAGGGCAGUGGCGGAUCCAGAAUUGGACCAAGAGGGGGGCUAAAUAAUACAUGCUAAAUUUUUUUUGCUCGCUCAAUCCAGUACACUAAGGUCUUGUUUAGUUCCAAUUUUUUUUACAAAAUAGGAAUAAUAGUAUUUUCGUUUGUAUUUGACAAAUAUUGUCCGAUCAUGGACUAACUAGGCUCAAAAGAUUCGUCUCGCAAAUUACAGGUAGACUGUGUAAUUAGUUAUUUCUUUUAUCUAUAUUUAGUGCUUCAUGUAUGUGCGCAAAAUUAGAUGUGAUGGGAAAUCUGAGAAAUUUUGCAAAAUAUUUUGGGAACUAAACAAGACCUAACAAAUAUAGCUAAGAUUGAUAAUUCAAUAUUGAUUCAAAGUGUUCAAAAACAAAGAUUCAUAAAAUAAGCAUAGAAAAAUAUCAAAUAUAUGGAAUCAUUUGCUAAAAAAGAAAACAUGUUAAAAAAUAUUUGAGCCCAAGAGGGGGGCUGCAGCCACCCCAGCCCCCCUCGUGCGUCCGCCAAUGAUGGAGGGCAAGGGCAACCGCCAUGGAUGAAAGGUCACCGUUAAUGGGUGAUUAACCAAGGCGGUUGGCCCCUGCCCACCACGGUUAAUUGGGAAAAAUAAAAAAAAGCUAAGCCCAACGUUUGCCCAUACGGGCCCGACAUCGAGCCCAGACUUGCCGCCGUCGUCCGAGAUCUGCCACCACCGGAACCGCACCUGGAUGUGAUGUCGCGGUAGCAUCCGCACCUAGAGAAGCCGCUAGUGGAGCCCGACCAACGCUGCACCCGUCGUGCCUGGGCCACUGCCGGAGCGCGGCCGCCGCACAUGUGGAGCUUGAUCUCGCAGUGGUGGUGCCGGAUCCGGCCGAGGAAGGAGGGGAGCACCACGACCUCCCACUGGAUCUGCUCGAGGAAGGACGGAUCCACGCCACCCUACCUAGCUUGCCGGCCGCGUGCAAGCCGCCUUGGGCAAUCAGAUGCCCGCACACAAACAAAUCCACAUGAAUCCGUCCUCUCUUGACCAAACCCAUGCGUGAUUCGACCUCCGGCCGCUUGGGUCUAGCCGUGGAGAGGGAGGGGACGAGGAGCGCAUCGUCGGGGGAGGGCUAGGCAGCCCGUGCCGCCGUUGGGAGGGGGCCAUGGAGGGAGGGGAGGAGAUCGAGAGGUGAGAAGAUCGGGAGUCGAGGGGAGGGAGAGGCAGGUGUGGCUCUGAGAGAGGGAUGAGGCAGUUAGCGUUUGCUGCUCAUUUUGUUUAUAUAUUGGAGCUGUGUGUGGGCUAGCAGGCUAGGCUUGAUUUAUCGAGGCGGUUCAAUUAUAAUGCUCGCCCCGGUUAAUGAUUUACCGAGGCAGUUGUGUUAGGAUGUCCGCCUCGGAUAAUAUCUAUUAAUUUAGGCGGUUGUGUUAUAAUGUCUGUCUCGGUUAAUGGAUUUUUAAAAAGUGAAUGCUUGGCAUUAACCGAGGCGGUUGACUUUCUUGCCCGCCUCGGAGGGGGCUUUUGAAAGGUCGCGGUAAAGAUUUUUUUUAGUAAAGGAAUGAUGUCCGUAGGUGUCAUCAUCGUCGAAAACUUGACUACACCUCUAGACCUCUAGCAAAGGAAUGAUGUCCGUAGGUGUCAUCGUCGUCGGAACUUGACUACACCUCUAGCAAAGGAGUGAUGUUCGUAGGUGUCAUCGUCGUCUAGCACUGAUAGCCUACCCGAACUAGUAACUAAUCAUGUCCACAAUGGUUGCAGCGACAUGUCAACAAUUGGAGUGGGUGGUCAAGAAGGUUUUUUACCUAGGCUUAUGGGUGUCAGUCUAGCUAGUGUAUGGAUUGCGUGUUAUUAGUAUGUUCGUACCUCGUAAAACUUCGUAAGGCGAUGUGCAUCCUCAUUAUGCAAAGGCUAGAAGUAUUUUAAGAUCUUUUUAUCUACUCGAUGUAUUAAACUUGAAUUAAUGAAAUUUCCUUUAUCGAAAAAAUGAAUUAGUGGUUGGCAGCUUGGCACGACCCCUUCCUUGCAUACAUGCUACCAAACAACACAAGCAGUCUAUCAGCAUGUUUGCUUGAACUUAUCGUCGAAUAUAUCAUUAUUUAAUAAUAUUUUUCUCUCAUAACAAAUCAAUCAAUAGUAAUUUUAGGGUGAUUGAGUCGAUCGAUCACAAGAGAUUCCUACACCAAGUCAGCACUAGCUAAGCCCUACUACUAUGCUGCUCCCCGGUGACUUGCACGACAGACUAGCGCAGCGCAACGCGGCUCACGCGUGGGGACGCGCAGUCAGGGCACUGCCAAUGCUAGUAACUAGAUACUAUAUAUAUAGAAACUAUGGUGUUAAUGGAUAGUUUCUAUAGAAUAUUUUUAUAUCCCAUCACAUUCAUUCUCUCUCCAUUCUUAGCCAGAUUUUGUGUUGAUAUGGUUUCUAACUUAGAUCUAGUUUCUAUAAUUUUUGUUCUCUCUCUUUAAUAACUCUUUUACCAUAUCAGCAAAAUACUUAGGUAGCACUACAAUUAAUAUCUAUAGAAAUCACGAUGGUUUGUAUUUGAGUGCCCUCACAUCCGCUUGGCGGCAGCCGGGCAGGGGCGCGCGCGGCUCGAGCGGCGCUAACAAUAAUUACCCGCGGCCCUAAUCGCAAAGGCAAACAGCCAUAAUCUAUAGGUACUCUCCUCGUGUCCCGAUGUCAGUACCGCAUCGACGUGGCCGCUAUUUUUCUUUUAAGAAACCGAUGAUGGCCAAUUAUCUAUCCAAACGGCAGCAUAUAGAAAAAUUGUUGGCGACAGUACUUGAGGCAUCAUUUGGAGCAAACCGAGAACGAGAGACACCCAAGCCCUACAGACUACAGUACAGCACAGCUGCUGCAGGACGAUGAGCAGUGUGUGUGUAUGUGUCUAUGUGACUUGUGAGAGGCAUCACUGAGUGUGAGCUCGUAGCCAUAGGUAUUCCCUAACUGACGCCUUGUUUAGUUCACCCCAAAAUCCAAAAAAUUUUCAAGAUUCUCAAUCACAUCAAAUCUUGCGGCACAUGCAUAAAGCAUUAAAUAUAGACGAAAACAAAAACUACACAGUUUGUCUGUAAAUCACGAGACGAAUCUUUUGAUCCUAGUUAGUUUAUAAUUAGAUAAUAUUUGUCAAAUAAAAACGAAAGUGAUACAGUAGCGAAAUCCGAAAUUUUUUCGGAACUAAACAAGGCCUGAGGUAGUACUUACGGUAUAGGUUAAAAGUUUAUGUCAUGGGGCUCUCUAAAGAGUAAAGUCUACAAUAAUUAAGCUAGAUUAAGCAUGUAUUUACUUGGCUUUUUGUGCAGCCCAGCCGCUUUGGUUGCGGUGAGAAAUUGGUCUCGUUUGCAGAUCGGACAGCCUACCAGUACCGCAAGUAGUUAUGGAUGCUACUGUGCUGUGUCUCGCCCAUCAUAUCAUCUGUGAAGGUUUUGUCCGGCCAAGCAUGGAGCCCCAAAAACCCUACGUACUACUGUGGCCGCUGCCUCUGAUCGUACCAUCAGCGGCUUGGGAUACCAAAAUGUGAAUCUCCUCUGCGUGUACCAAUGAGAUUUUUGUUCGCUGAAGUUUAUGCAUGGAAGUCAAAAAAAGCUACAGAGAUAACGAUAUGUUUAUUUUUUAUUCUCAUCGUUUUUAAUUAACCGCACCGCUCCCUGUGGAGUUACACAAGUUCCUGUCUCUUGAUUACGUACUAGCUAGUCCGUAUUUCUGAAGGGGUGAGCGAAACUAAUCAACGUUUUUAUUUUUGGCUAUUUUUUGUUACUUUUGUUUAGCUUCCUUUUCAUAUCAUAUACUCCCUCCAUCCCAAAUUGUAAGUCAUUCCAAGAAUCUUGGAGAGUCAAACUUUUCUAACUUUGACCAAAUUUAUAUAAUAAAAUAAUUAUUAUUAUGAUACCAACUAAAUAUCAUUAGAUUCUUUUUUAAUUAUAUUUUCAUAGUAUAUUCACUUUACGUUACAAAUCUUAGUAUUUAUGUCUAUAAUUUUGGUCAAACAUGAAAAUACUUUGACUCUCCAAGAUUUUUGGAAUGACUUACAAUUUAGGAUGGAGGGAGUACUUGCAUACGGAGUAUUGCAUGGAGUUGGACAACGGCAAGUCAAGAGCCCAUGCAUGCCAAGAAGCCCAAAGGUGAUCCUUUUUUUAAACAGAAAGAAAGUCCAGGAUGAGAUGUGGGUCUUGCAGCCCCAGCCGCUACAUCGAACAAAUCGAUCAGGCCCAAUCCAGCGGCACGGCCCAACUCGUCUUGGGCCAGCCCACAACCAAAAGGAGACGGAACCAAGCAAGACACCAGUGGAGCCCAGCCCGCCCGAGAGCUGCAUCAGCGGCCCACCAGGCACCAGCACAACGGACGCCGUGCCACUCACGGCCGGUGGAGACGGAAAGCGUAGGCGACGACGGCCUGGCCCUGCCAUCUUGCGCGGCGGAGCAUCGGCCACCGAGGCGCGGCUCCUUGAGUCUUGAGUGAGUGACCAUCCUGCUGUUCUGCCUUCUCCUCCGUUCUCGCCUUCGAGAAGGCCGCAGAGCGAAGGAAACUGCACAGUGCUACCCGUUUCUUGGGCUCUUGGCGCGGAAGAAGAAGGGAGAGCGCGGAAGAAGAAGAAGAAAAAGGGAGAGAGAGGGGGGCGACGAAGAUGUUUAUCCAGAAGGUGAUUAUUAUGCCUCCAAACCUUGUUAAUCGUGCAGAUAAUGCGCGAGCAGGCAUAAUUUUGCUCUGGUUGCUUUCACGCGUGUGUGAUCUGCGUUGAUUGUGUUUUCGCGGGGAGCCGCAGGCAUGGCGGACGGCGGCGUUUGGGCUCUACGGCUUCACCCAGUUCACCAAAUCCGGUUUCCUGUAAGCCUCAUUCCGCCCCGGCCCCUCAAUCAUCUCCCCAAUACUCGUCCUUUCUCUGCACCUCGCACAAUUUUGUGCGACCGCGUUCGUUGCUGUCGAAUGCUGGUUUCUUGCGAGCCCGGCCUUGUUGGAAUCGAUUGUUCCUUAAAUUGAAUUUAGACUAGGAUAGCUAAGCUGAGCGCCCCUUCCGAUCCAAAUUUUAGCAUGGCACUGGCUAUUUAGCUUAAUUUCAUCAGGAUUAAAAACCCCAGUUUUUAAACGGUAACUGAAAGGGUUUUGUUCAACAGAUUAGAGCUGAUCCCCAGAAGUGACCAGCUGUUAUCAAGAUUAUGGUGUUCAAAUUCACAAAAAGAAAAAGAAAAAGAUUAUGGUGUUAAAAAAUCGGCACUCUUGAACAAUUAAGAAUUAAGUUUUGUAGUGUCUAACAGCACAAUAGAUCCGUAACGCUCACGCCCCUCUGAAACGAACAUGCCAUUUUUUUUUCAUGAUCAGGCUAAGGCCUUGUUUGGAUGUUGUCGGAUUCGCAUCAAUCCACAUAUGUUGGUGUGGGUUGGAGUGGAACUUGAACUAAAUUCCACCUCAAUCCACUCCAACACAUGUGGAUUGAGGUGAAUUCGACAACAUCCAAACAAGGCCUAACGUGUCCUUUUUUACAGGGAGCAUGCAAAGAAAUUCAGAGAGGAGGAUAUGCAGAUCCGGUUGGAUGGGAAAAAUUGCCUGGUAACUGGAGCGAAUUCUGGCAUUGGUUUUGCUACAGCUGAGGGUUUGGCUUCACAGUAUGGAUCUAUUCCUUGUUUCAAAGUGAUGAUUUGUUCUGGAAAAAAUGGUCAAUUUACCGAUUUCAUUAUGCGGUUCCCUGUAAAAAAAUAUUGGUUUGUAUUCUUACAGUGGUGCUACCGUCUAUAUGCUCUGUCGUAACAAGGAGAGAGGGGAGGCUGCUCUUGACCAAAUAAGAUCCAAAACUGGCAAUGCAAAUGUUCAUCUGGAGGUAUGAUGCUUGCUGAUUCUCCUACAUGCUUGGAAGGUUGAACUGUUCUUCAUGACGAUGUGCGUUGGUUAUGAGAAAAUAAGACUCAACACUAUUAUCAUGUGGCAGAUAUGUGACCUUUCAUCUAUCAAUGAAGUAAAAUCGUUUGCAACAAAGUUCACUUCAAUGGAUAAACCACUCCAUGUCUUGGUGAGUACUGCUGUUUCAAACACACUGCAGUUUUGCUUCUUUCCCAGCUGCUUUUAGUUUUUAUGUCAAUGCUUUAAAGUUUCUUUAAAACAGAUUAACCAAAUGUUGGGAUAAAACCAUUAAUUUGCCAUCUAGGUAAACAAUGCUGGCUUACUAGAGCACAAGCGUGAGACUACAGCAGAAGGGUAAAUGAUAUGUUGGUUUAUUUGCAAACAGCCUAUUAGUUUAUACAUCAUAUGAAUAAUUUAUCACUAAAAUCAUAUGCUUGCCCUUUUCUUUUUCCUUUUUGGAACAGGUUGGAGCUCAAUUUUGCUGUCAAUGUAGCUGCAACAUACACUUUAACAGAGCUAGUUAUGCCGUUAUUGGAGAAAGCAGCACCAGAUGCUCGUGUCAUCACAGUUGCAUCAGGAGGCAUGUACACCGAGCCACUGAACAAGGACUUACAGGUAAACUAUAGUUUCUAUGUGCCUUCAUUUGCCUUCGUUUACAUCAUAUAAACCUGUAGUCUGAAAAGAUGAACCAUAGUUCAUGAUGUGGAGCAAGGAAGUUUUUUUUUUUUUUUUUUUUGAAGUUUGAAGUUUGUGAUGAAACAUGCCAUGAGGGUUCAUUCGAGGCAAAAUUGGCAAACCUAGGAAAUAGGAGUGAACAGAUCUGCAUUGUCUGUUGUGCAAUUCCUUACUUGGGACUUAGGAGAGCUUCCAGAUUUUGGAUUGUUUUCUGUAGGUUGUGAAGGGUUUAUUAAAAAAGCCAUUUUCCUUUACCAUGAGAUGCUUGUUUGUUACGGAAAGGGUGAAAUUUGUCAGUUUUCGUUCAUUACGGAAAAUGAACUAGCAUUUGAAUGUAGUCCUUUUCACUCCCUUAUGAUAUAUUGAUAUGUCAAUCAUCAUACCUCUCAUUUUUCCACAUGUCAGGCUCUUAGUCUUAUCUCAUUUCCAUUAUGCUUAAUCUCAUCAUCUCUCAUUGCUUAAAAACCUCAGUUCACCGAAGGCACCUUCGAUGGGACACAACAAUAUGCUCGAAACAAAAGAGUUCAGGUUUGUCCAGAUUGAACUAUGCAUUGCCUGCCCAAUUUUGUAUGAGAUCAAGAUAUUACUAUGCUAAUGGAAUAUCUGUCUCAGGUGGCACUCACUGAAUGGUGGGCUGAGAAAUACGGCAACAAGGGAGUUGGUUUCUACUCCAUGCAUCCUGGGUGGGCUGAUACGCCUGGCGUCGCCAAGAGCUUGCCUGGAUUGUCAGAAAAGUGGGGUUUGCUGUCCUUGUUCAUGCUUGCCGUGUUAUAGUUCUGUGCUAUCAAGUAUUGAUAAUCUCCUGGUGCAUUCCAUCAUUUCAGAUUGUCUGGAAACCUGAGAACAAAUGACGAAGGAGCUGAUACAGUGGUUUGGUUGGCGUUGCAACCUAAGGAGAAGUUAGCCUCAGGAGCUUUUUACUUUGACCGUGCUGAAGCACCAAAACAUUUGAAGUUUGCUGGGACUGCAGCUUCGCACGCCCAGAUAAACUCCAUCGUUCAUAGCAUUAGAUCCAUCUGUGGCUUCUCUGUUAAAGGUUGAGCUGUUAAUGCCAAAGUGUAUAUAGUUGAACUGCAAAGCAAAGGUGAUCUAUAUAGUUGAUAAUAAAAUGGGAGCAUGAUUCAUAAAACCGCAAAAACAUAAAAAGAUGCACCAGCCGGGAAUCGAACCCGGGUCUGUACCGUGGCAGGGUACUAUUCUACCACUAGACCACUGGUGCUUUUGAUGCAAAGGUUUUGGUAGGUUGCAAACUAUUGUUCCGAAACAAUCAAACGUGGAUAUAUUUUCCCAAUAUUCCUAUCACAUAUCUCCCACUCCUGUAUUACGAUGUGUGGAGUAAAUCCAAGUGAACGACUGCAGUCUAAACUUUUCUUUUGCAAGACGAAACUUGCACCAUAGCAUCUUGCACAUUAUUUGGCCACGUCACCUUCAAACUCACACUGUCGUAUCCUGAGUAGCAAUUUCAACAAUGCAGAGCAAAGACACCAAACAUAUACUAACGAUGACACUGGAUAUUACUGCAUAUAAAGCAGAUAAUGAGAUAAGUUUCUUGCCAACUAGAAGUACAGAUAGUUACACUCAACAGACCUACUGACGAUGACACUUAAUAUUACUGCAUAUAAAACAAAUAAGUUCCUUGCCAACUAGACAUAGGUAUUCAUAGUUACACUAAACAGACCUGGAACAAGAAGCCAAACUACUAGGUACUAGCACUGGCCUUGUUUAGUUCCCAAAAAAAUUUGCAAAAAGUUUCAGAUUCUCUAUCAUAUCGAAUCUUGCGACACAUACAUGGAACAUUAAAUAUAGAUAAAAAUAAUAACUAAUUACACAAUUUACUUGUAAUUUACGAGAAGAAUCUUUUAAGGGCAACCACAAUAUAUAUAGACUAAGUAGUCCAUAUAAGCAGCUUUUGUGUCAGUGGACAAUAGCUAUUGUUGUUUUCACAAUGUUUCAGUCAACAACUAGUCCAUAAAGUGGGUCCCAUAUAAGACAAAAAAUUAUUUCUCUUUACAAUCCUGUGCAAAGCCAAGAAAGAGAGAGUGAGGAGUGAGAAAAAGUAGCAUUUUUUAUUCCCUAUGGGUAGUCCAUAAGCUUAUGGAUAUCUUUUGCUAUGGACUCCUUUAUGGACUGGUCUCACAGUGUUCCAGUUACCUGAUAGCAAAUAUUUUAAUCCUAUGGACUAACUUAUGGCACACAUUGUGGUUGCUCUAAGUCUAGUUAGUACAUGAUUAGACAAUAUUUGUCAAAUACAAACGAAAGUGCUACCAUUCUCCCCUCACAACAUGUCUCAACAAAAGCCCAAAUUAUGACAAGAGUCACAAGACACCAGGACCAAGGUUACCCAGUAAAGAAUCGGGAACAGGCUCUACCCAACAUGACCUUGCACAUUUGCCAGCAGCUCACUCUCUCCAUCCCUUCCAUGCUAUCGGAUUCAGUACCUAUUCUCAAGACGCGGUCUCUUGCGGCUGCUAAUUCUUACUCUGAAGUAACAAGUUUCAUCCCACUCAUGCUAUUGGGUUCAGUACCUAUUCUCAAGACACGGUCUCUUGCAGCUACUAAUCCCGACUCUGAAGUAGCGAUUCUGUUCAGAAGAGAGUUUCUCUCAUCAUCAUCAUCAAGUAAGAAGGAAUCUUUUUGAAACAAAGUAAGAAGGAAUCUAUCUCUGCGAAAUUGGAGUUGCCAUCAUCAAUGCAUUUUUCUUUGAAUGAUUGCAACGCAGUGAAAAGGACAGGGAAAGCUUCUUCUGUGCCCAUAUUACCAUCAUCUUCAGAAAUGUUUCCUGUAACUCUGGUCUCUGAAUCCUCCUAUGGCAUAAAGAUGACUCAUAUAAGUAUUACAAGAUUUUGUAUAGAAAAAAUAUUGUGGCAGCUGGUAGGGCAAUAGAUCUAAUGAUACAGAUCAAUUUACUUAAUUUUUACUACAGAAACAAUGAAGCUGAAAUAAGAUACCCUUGACUACAACAGUACCAUCUCAUAUUGGUUAGCAUUAUGCUGGCGUUCCUUAUGGAUAAAAUUCAUCUCGUCUGUUUCUAGGCAGAAGGAGAGGAACCACUGAGGAGACAGAGGAUCCCUGAGGCAGGCAGCAGAUAAGUACACAAAGCCAUUGAUAACCGCCAUAGGCUGCAUCCCAACAUCAGCCUCUUCUGAACGCUCGGUGACCUUGCUGACAUUUGCGUGCAACGAGAACAUCUUGUGCAGCAUGAAUCUCCUGACACCAUCAUCGUUGGCUGGCCAGAGCCAAACAAAAAGCAUGCAUUUCUAAAAAAGGUAGGUAUCAUGAAUGUUCCUAAAAAAAGGUUUGUAUAUGUGACUGGUGGUAGUAGCCACGUCGCUGAUUUCAAAAUCUAUUUUUUUCUUUUGCUACAAUAAUUUCUAUUUUUUUCUCGAUUACAUAAAAGAUUCGUGCGUCCUAGCAUCAAGGUAGAGAAAAAGUUUAAUACAACAUGCCUUCAGGCACCCUAGGGGUUAGUAAAGAUUUACAUGGAAGCUCAUACACUCUCUAAUAUACUCUAAGCUAGAUUGUUACAUUGGAUAGAGAUCGACCCAAAUUUGUGGUGCCGGUAUUAAUGGACAUGCAGCCCAUGGCACGACGGCCUGGCACGAAGCCCACAUUUUUAGCCCCGCACGAGCACGACCCGGCCCGGUGACGAGCAGGCCAGGGCUAGAACGGCCCAAAACACAGGGCCAUGCCUAGGCUGCACUCUAGGCACACGGGCUGGCCCUGCAUGUCCCGCAAAUUGGUGAAAGGCCCGGUGGCGAGGCGGUGACCACCGUAGCAGCCUGGUUCGUCUAAGAGCCCACUAGCCUCCUUCCCUCAAAUCCUAACUUUCUUUUUUCAAUCCACCCUCACGCCACACUUUGUAGUGCAACUCAAGCGGCGUGAUUCCCUCCAUCCCUUAUGCUUGAUACUCCCUCCGUCCCUUAUGCUCGUGACUCCCUCUGUGGCUUCGUGCUCGCCUCAAUUACCUUGAGCCACGUGACUCCCUCUGUCCUUUCUGCUCGAGACUCCCUCCAUGCUUGCAUUCCUUCCCUCGGAUGCGGCACAGUGUGGCCACCUCCUCCUCGCCCCCGUACCACCACCAUAGGUAGACAAGCACCUCAGAAGCAUACGUGGCGUGUCCGAGCUCCGAAUCUUGAUCGUCGUGCAUCCUCCAGCUACUUCGCCACUGCGUCCUCUACUCCUUCACUAGCUACUUCGCCGGAUCUAGCACCCCUAGAGUGAGCUCGCCGGCAGCCACUACCACCUCUACGCCUCACCUUCCCCUCCUCUCAGUUGCAUUGUUGGGCCUCGAGCCGACCCGACCUGCUAAAAAGGCUAGGUUCAUCGUGCCAGCACGACAGUGGCCCAGUAGGCCAUGCCUAGGCCGUCAACCAUUCACAAAGCCUAGCUCGGCACGGCCCGAAGGCACGUCGUGGCCUACCUGGCCCGGCUCGGUCGGGCUGUGCUGGACUGGGCUGACCCAUUGCCCAUCUAUAGGUGUUGGCAAGGAGCCCUAUGCCCUAGCUGUCGGGCGGUGGCGUUGCUUGCACGCGCUUAUAUCGCCAACCGAAGGGAAGAACUCAUGCAACACCCAUAUAUGAAUAGGGUGGCUAUUAAAUACCUCAUUGGACGUCAUUGUCGACGUCGAUGGAGGCGGCAUCCCGCUGGAGAGUUUGAGGCGCUUCGUGACAAGGUACUCGCCUGGCUUGGCUGUCGAGAUAUGAGUUGUGGCUUUUGGCGCUAUCCGUUUGCUUUGCUUAGGAAGUGAGGGCAGUGCACAUAUGUCGAGGGCGCCUUGUCUCUUGGUAGCUCGAAAAAUUAAGUGGCGACUCCCUCAUCUUUGUAACUCGCUCAGUGAAGCGCUUGAGGCGUCGGCCGAGAUCGUCGAGGCGAAGGGGUGAGGUCAACAAAUGAUUUUCUCUUUUGCAAAUAUAGUGUUUCUUCUAUACUAGAAUAAACAAUUAUCCACAGCCUUGAAAAAAAUGUUCCAUCGUGAUUUAAAAAAGUGCAUUUAUUAAAGGAAAAAUGUUCAACCUAGUAGGUAUAUAUAAAAUCUAACCAAGAAGAUGAACCCAAAUCCUUAUGUAUAUCUUGCAGAGAACGGUAAAACAUAGCAGUUCCUCCUAAUUAAAUUCAUAUGGAAAUCCACAUUCCAAAUAUCCUGUAUGUAACAGAAAAGCUGAUCAUCCACACCUAUUGGCUUUCGAUCUCAAAUUACGUACCAAACUGUUACAAAGUCACUGUAAUUCACAGCUCCACACGUCCCAUGCAUGCAUGUCUUCUCAAUCAAGCAGCACACAAGCAUGCUUUUGGAAACCACUACUUCUACCAAGAAAAAAAACAGAUAAAAUAAUAUAAUGGUACAAACCUGGAAACAAAACGGAAUCCUUGACAAGAAGAAAAAAAAAAAACAAAUGAAGUACGGAUAUAUAUAGCGGGAGACAAGAAGAAACAAGAAGAGCGAGAGGGGAGCGCCUCCGACUGAAUUAUCAUCGUUUGGUGGGGAGCGUCAAGAUUCGGAGGUUGACGAGCACUGGCAAGACGAGGACGGCGAUGAGCACGAUGCUGGCGAGGAUGGCGAUGCACAUCCACUUGCGGCUGCUCUUCUGGUACUCGCGCGCGGACUCCAGCUCGACGGUGCCCCUGCGCACGAAGGAGCUGGCGUGCGCGACGUGGCUCUCGAUGUCGUUGAGCUGGUGCCCCUGCGCCUCGACGAGCGCCGCCAUGUCCAGGAACACCUGGUGCAGGUCCAUGAGGCUGCGCUCGAUGUCCUUCACGGCGUCGUGCCGCUCCUGGAUCUCCGAGAUGGUGUCCAUCACCUGCCCUCGCCCUUGCUCCUGGAUCGCCUUCUGCAGGAACGACUCGCUCUCCCCCGACGAGAUGAGCGCCUCGAUCGUGCUGUCCUCCGGCUUCUCCCCCGUCACCGUGUAGUACCGCCGCGCCACCGUCUCCUUGUACUCCGCCGCCAUCCUCGCCCUCAGCCCCUGAUGCAUUUAUAUGUAUAUAAUUGCGCAGUUCGUUACUUAAUUACAGGGACGAUGAAUGAAUAAUGAUGAGAUGAACAAACAACUUGUAUAUAUGGUAACGUAUAACCGUACCUGGAAGUCGUCCAUGAGGUCCUUGAGCUUCUUGCCGAGGCCGGCGACGACGGAGGUGCGGGUGCGGUCGGUGGAGGAGCCCGGACCGCAGCCGGGAACCUUGCGGGAGGUGGCGUUGGAGCGGUCGAGCUCCUCGAGCUUGCCCUUGAUGGCCUUGGCGCGGCGGAGCACCUGCUCGACGUCCUUGUCCAUGCGGGAGCGGAGGGACUUGACGGUGCGGGCGUCGUGCGCCGUCUUGGUCUCCUCGUUGGUGGACUGGAGGCCCUUGUACAUGCCUUCCAGCCCGCGCAUGUCCUCCUUCACCGCCUCCACAUCCUCGAAGAACUUGUCCAGGUUAACCACGCUCUCGCUGCCGGCAUCCGUGCCACCCGCCGACGUCGCCGGGCUCGAAUCCGCAUACUUCUUGAACGAGCUCGACGAGAACAGGUCGUUCAUCUUGGAGACAGCACAAUAAUAAUUAAUCUGCGUGCGUACCAGGCCGGGCAGCAGAAAGCGAGGCAGGAGCAAGAGAUGGAGCUACGGCGAGUUUCAAAGAAUGGCCAUGGCUUGCCUUCCUAGACGGAUAUAUGGCGAACGUCGUCCAAGAAAUCAGCAAAUGGCGGGAAGUGGUUGAAAGGAAGGCCUCCCUCCCCUAUAGGAAGCAAGUGUUUCUCUCUCUCCCUAAUUGCGGCAACACGGCAUGCAUGCAUGGUGGUCUCCCCAGUGUCUUGCUCCGGUCAUUCCAACGGCAGGUGGCGAGAGAGCCGUUCCCUCACGUGUGCGACCGACCGCUUGCACUAGCCCCAUGCUUUCCCAAAACAAGCUCUUAGUAGAUGACUUUUGUGGAUCCUAUAAAUUGUGCUUGCAUUGUUGCUUGCAGAGGAUGUUGUGAAUUCAUCGUUUAGGGUCCAGUUCUGUGUAAUUAAUUUGAUCCUCAAUAUCUGGUGAUAGUUGAACCCCUCGAAGGGCUAGCCAAAGUGGGACAUGUUCUUGUAAGAGUUGGGGGUGAACUACUGCGAGUAAGGUUAAGGUCUCAAGAGCACGAUUUCACGUGUAUUUCAUUAAAAAAUGCUGAAAGAACGGCUUACACAACGUAGCUAUGGGAGAACCCCAUAGUGCCAGUUUGAGAACCAAAGAGUAAGGUGUUGUCGUCUAGACCGAGCUUCCUAGACAAUGCAAUUAUUCCUUCGUGACGCCUUAAAGACUGAACCAUAUGUCAUCUCCCACUUUGCCCUUGCCACCAAGAAGAUUGCCAAACUUUUGCUAUUGCCUUGCCCCAUUUCCAGUGGUUAGCGUAACUAAUGUUGCGUACAACAACUUGUGAAUUUCAGUGCCAAACGUACUUAUGCCUACCCAAAGUUUGUCUUGUGAUUUCCAUUCCGGCCAUAACCAUUUGAGCAUGAUCACUCUAGAAAGUUUGUUGAUGUCAACGAUCCAAAUUCCUCCAAGUUCAGUUUGUCUGCAUGACCUAGGCCACUUUACAUUGUAUUUUCCACCAGUGAGGGCUUGAUCUCUAGCCCAGAAAAAGUGUUUUAUGUUGGUAACAAGGAUUUCGAUCACAUCUUGUGGAGGUACAAAGGAGAAGUAUACCAUGUGCGAUGUAAACACCGCUUUGAUGAGCAUACCCUAACUAGUAUGUGUUUAUUCCUCCCCCGCCAGCGUGUCAUUGGUGUCACACCCUUUGUUGAAAAGUGGAUGGAAACCCACCUUCUGUAGCUUCCUGAUUGUAAGAGGGAGGCCCCUGCACCUAAUGCGAAAGUGUUUUUUUAUGUCUAAAGCUUAACAAAAUUGUAAAAAAUCACAGCAUCAUUAGCAUACAUGGAGAUGGAGGUGCAUUGCCAUGCAAAGACCCCUUUGAACCUUGAGAUGAUCGAUACUUUAUUUGUGUUGGGGGUGUAGAUCUCCCCUACCGACGGAGGCAGGGCUGGCUGGUGACGCUUGGGGCAAAGACACGGGCCUCCGACACAGAUGACGGAGGCCUUGGAAAGUCAAAGGCUCCAUACCACCGGGAGAGGUCUAAAAUGUCAAUUGUUAUAAGUUAAUCCACUUUUAUGCAAACAUUGCUUUCCUUUGGCAUGAUGUAGGUGACGCAGGUCAGGCCUCCGACCCGUGAGGCAAAGGUUUGAGAAAUACAGGCGUAGACUCCAAGGGCUGGUUGAGGGUGGAGGCUUUGGCGGUAUGGGCGAAGGCUUGUAUGGAGGCCGAGGCAUGGGGUAGCAAUAGCCGCCACCAAUGAUGCUAUAAAGUUGGGCCGAGGAAUCCAAAGGAGAAGGCCCCACUACAAAUAUGCGGCCCACGGGAGAAAUGACAGAUGUGCCUACGAUAUCGUAGAUUGAGAAUAGGAUAUUCUUGGAAUGUAUCACCACCGUCAUGGGGCAUUUAUGUACUAAGACUAGAGAAUGAAUGAUGCCCCAUAAAAGAGGGGCACUGAUUACUGUGAGUCUUGGUUGGUGAAUACAAUAAUGAAACCCUUGCUUUUCCUUAUCCGCUGGCCCCCUUUUGUCACUUGGACCUUCGCCCGAACCUCCAUUCAGGCAAAGACCUACCCAACUCCGCACGCUGGAACCCCCAGUUCUGACAUUGGCUCCCACCACGUGUUGCCCAACAAAACCCCACAAUGGCAUAAAAGAGGAAAGCCUCGGCAAGAGCAUCAACAACCUCCACCCUAAGAGGAAGGCCUAGGCACAAUACCCACAACACAUACACUUCAGCCCAAGAGGACUAAGUUGAAGAGGAACCAGUGCACCAAAAUCAACCCCUAGGUCUAGAGGUUUAGCAAGCACUAGGUUCAAUGCCCAAGCAAGAGCUCCCACAGCUGCAUGCUCAGUUGCAAAGCUUGCAGCAAAAGAAAGACAGAGUAGCGGUGACAUUUUUCGCAAGCUAGCAAGUAGCCCAGACUUUAGCCUAGAUCAGAUAACAACUCGUCCUUUUGUAGGAAGAGAUCCAAAGUAUGUAGCCUCCACAGCCACCCUCCAACACACCUCGCCAAACAAGCUUAGCAAGCUAAAACCAGCUUCACCCUCCUUUAACCGCAAUAGCUCAGCUGACCUUCGGUUCACCUCUCAUAAUCCCAUAAACCUGAAGAACCAUAGACCCUAAAUCUCUUUUAUCCAAAGGCAUCCAAACUUCCCCAUGGCCCACCUCUUACAAACCAAUUACCCUUUCCAAAUUUAAUGGAAAUUUAGACCCUCACCAAUUCAUCAUGAGUUUUGAAGCAGCAGUAGCCUCCAUAGGUAGGAAUGAGGCGGUAUUAGCUAAGUCCUUCAUAAUUGUAGCCGAAGGUGAUGCACUUGCAGGCUACUCCAUGCUCAAGCCAAGUAUAGUGUAUUCAUGCGAAAACCUUCACGACAAGAUUUUAGGAAACUUCAAUGGUUUUGCCAGUGAGUCCCUAACUUCAACAAACUUGUUCUAGUUUUGCAAGUAAAGCUAGGGAGAGGCACUAAGUGACUACUUAUAGAGAUUCAUGUAAGUCAAAGCAAAAGCUCAUGAUGUCCCAGAGAAAGUAGCCAUCGAGGCAACAAUCAACGACCUUAGCAUUCUAACGGUUCGUCAUCCUCCAAGGGUGAAGCAUUGCAUGUGAGAGGCAGAUCUGAACAUAGAUCCUCCAAUAAAAAUAGCAACAGUCGUGACAAAGAGCUAUGAUGGAAGAGGCCAUUUAAAGUUCAAGCCCCCUAAGAUGUUUUGUAAGUAUUGCAAGAAGAAAAACCAUUUUAUUGAGGAUUGUAAGAAACUUCAGAAUAAGGAGAAGAGAAAAGGCAAUUCUGAUGAUAAUGCUUCUGUUGUUUCUGGUGCUAAAAAUUCUGAUUCUAGAGAUUGUCUAGUAGUUGUAGCUAGUUGUGUUGCUGGUUAUGAUGAAUGAAUACUUGAUUCUACAUGUUCAUUUCAUAUUUGUACUAAUAGAAAUCGGUUUAGUUCCUAUAAGCCUGUUGAGAAAGGAGAUGUUGUGCGUAUAGGAGACAACAACCCGUGUGAUGUUGUGGGGAUCGGCUCUAUUCAGACCAAAGCACAUGAUGGCAUGAAACACAUGCUGAAGAAUAUGAGGUACAUACCAGAGAUGUCUAGAAAUCUCAUCUCACUCAGCACGCUUGAUGUAGAAGGUUUUCAUUAUUCUAGUUCAAAUGGCUUUCUGAAGGUAUCAAAAGGUUCACUUGUUUGCUUGAAAGGUGAUCUGAAUUCUGCAAAGUUAUAUGUCAUUAGAGGAAGUACUUUACAUGAUACUAUUUUCGUUGUUGUUGCUGCUGUUACUAGUGCUGAACCUAGUAAAACUAACCUUUGAUAUAUGCGUUUAGCACAUAUGAGUCAACUUAGUAUGACAAAAUUGAUGAAGAUAAACUUGUUGGAUGGCUGCACUUCGAGUAACAUGAAGUUCUAUGAGCAUUGUAUUUUUGAAAAGCAUAAAAGGGUAAAAUUCAACACUUCAGUUUAUACCACCAAAGGUACUCUUGAUUAUGUACACGCUGAUUUAUGGGGUCCUUCUCGUAAGCCUUCUCUUAUACAUGGCUAUGUGGCUUGCGACCCGAUGGCCUGGCCCAUGGCCCGGUGAUUUGGCCCGACCCGAGCAUGAUACGGCACGGUGGCCACCAGGCCUGGGCCAGUCUGGCCCGACGGACCAUGCCGUGCCUAGGCCGCCACCUAGGCACGUGGCACAGCACACAGGCACAAGCCAUUCCAACAGUCGACCCGGUAGUGGUCUGGUAAACAUGAACAAUUAGUGUAGUUAUGUCUUGUAUAUAUAUACUGUUAAUUGUUAUAUUAGUGAAAAUGAUGAAUAAUUGGUAAAAAUGAUGAAAUAUUUCAGCAUUUGGUGAAAAUAUUGAUGAAAAUGAGCUAUUGUUGGUUUGAUGGGCCAUGGGCCGGCAUGACACGACGUGCUUGACGGACCAACACGGCAUAAAAACCGAUCUGCAGGCCGUGCCUUGGGCUGAAGGCCACGCACAAAACCCAUAGAGGCACGCCCCACUAGGCACGACGGCCCAUAGUGGCCUGACAAUCUACGACAGGGCACAGCUCGUUGGACAUCUAUGCCUUCUCUUGGUGGUGCUCGUUACAUACUUACAAUUAUUGAUGAUUACUCUAGAAGAGUUUCGUCUUAUUUUCUAAAAAAUAAAGAUGAUAUCUUUGCUGUAUUUAAGAAUUAAAAAGUUAUGAUAGAGAGACAAACUGAAAAGAAUGUGAAAUUGGUUCGUACUAAUAAUAAUGGUGGAGAAUUUUGUUCGGAUGCUUUUGAUGAUUAUUGCAGGAAUGGAUGCCUUGUUAGGCAUCACCAUAUCGCACACUCCACAGCAAAAUAGUGUGGCCAAACGUAUGAACAGAACCAUCAUUUCAAAGGCUUGUUGCAUUGCAAGGAUGAGCAAACGUUUUUGGGCUCAAGCAGCUAACACCGCAUGUUACUUGAUAAACAAGUCACUUUCUAUUCUACUUAAUAAUAAAACUCCUAUUGAGGUAUAGUUAGGUACACCUACAGAUUAUUCACAGUUGAAAGUUUUUGGCUGCAUUGCUUAUGCUCAUAUUAAUAAUGGAAAAUUAGAGCCUAGAGCUAUUAAAUGUUUUUUCUUGAUUAUGGUUCAUGAGUUAAAGGAUAUAAAUUGUGGAAUCCUAAAAUAGGAAAGACUUUCAUGAAAAGGAGUGUCGUUUUCAAUGAAUCUGUGAUGUUUAAUGAUAGUUUGUCCUCAGAUCAUGUUCUAGAGAGUCCUGAAAGAGAGUUGCAGUAUAUCAGUGUGCAGGUGGAGCAUGUGGAUCAUGAGGUAGGUGUACAGGUGAAGCUAGUUAAUACUCAUAAUGAUGAAGUUGCUGAUGAUGAUACUCAUGAUGAUGUUCAGCAACAUUCACCUCCUGUUUUGCAGUCAGAGGAGGAUUUGCCUAUUGCUCAUCGUAGGUCAAAGAGGGGCUGUGGACCUUCAACUCGUCUUAUUGAAGAAUGUAAUUUUACUUAUUAUGCUUUAAGUUAUGCUGAACAGGUGGAGAAUACUCAUGAGCCAGCAACUUAUCAUGAAGCCAUUGGUUGUGGUGAUUGUGAGAAGUGGAUUUCAGCUAUGCAUGAGGAGAUGCAGUCUCUUAAGAAGAAUAGCACAUGGGAGGUUGUUCCUUUGCCUAAGAAGAAGAAGACCAUCCAUUGCAAAUGGAUCUUCAAGAGAAAGGAGGGUUUAACUCCAAGUGAGCCUCCAAAGUUUAAGGCAAGGUUAGUAGCAAAAGGCUAUAGUCAGAUUCCCGGUAUUGACUAUAAUGGUAUGUUCUCUCUAGUUGCAAAACACAGUUCUAUUCGUAUAUUUUUUUAGUAUUGUUUUUUCACAUGAUCUUGAGCUUGAGCAGUUAGAUAUGAAGACUGCAUUCUUACAUGGAGAGCUUGAGGUACAUGGACCACCCGGAAGAGUUCAUAGUGCCUGACAAGGAGAAAUUUGUUUGCAAGUUGAAGAGUUUCUUGUAUGGUUUGAAGUAGUUCCCUCGUCAGUGGAACAAACGGUUUGAUUCAUUUAUGCUGUUGUAUGGUUUUAAGAGGUCUAAAUAUAAUAGCUGUAUUUACAUCAAGCAUAUUAAUAGAUCACCUAUAUACUUGCUGUCGUAUGUUGAUGAUAUGCUGAUUGCUGCCAAGAGUAAGGUUGAAAUCACUAAAUUAAAAAAAUAUUGAGUAGUGAGUUUUACAUGAAAGAUCUUGGUGCUGCUAAGAAAAUUCUCGGUAUGAAAAUUACUAAAGACAGAAAAUCUGGUUUGCUAUUUCUUAGUCAGCAAAAUUAUAUUAAGAAAGUUCUUUAGAGUUUCAACAUGCAUAAUGCUAAGGUCGUUAGUACUCUUAUUGCACCUCAUUUUAAAUUAUCAGCUGCACAAUGUCCUAGUACAGAUCAAGAUAUUGAAUACAUGUCAAAAGUUCCUUAUUCUAUUGUUGUUGGGUCUUUGAUGUAUGUCAUGGUUUGCUCUCGUCUAGAUUUAUCAUAUGCUAUGAGUUUGGUUAGUAGAUAUAUGUCUAAUCUUGGUAAAGAAUAUUGGAGGGCAGUUCAAUGGAUUUUUAGGUACAUCAGAGGCACAACAAAUUCUUAUUUGAAAUUUGGUAGAACUAAGAAGGACUUAUUGGUUAUGUGGAUUCAGAUUAUACUGCUGAUCUGGAUAGACGCAAGUCACUCACUUGUUAUGUGUUCACAGUUAGCAAUUGUGCUAUAAGUUGGAGGGCUACAUUGCAAUCUGUUGUUGCUUCGUCAACUACUGAAGUAGAGUACAUGGCUGUUUCUGAGGUAUGCAAGGAAUUAAUUUAGCUGAAAGAUCUGUACGCUGAGCUGUGUGGAGUUGAUUCUUGCAUUAAUUUAUUCUGUGACAGUCAAAGUGUCAUUUACCUAACCAAAGAUCAAAUGUUUCAUGAGAGAACUAAACAUAUUGACAUCAAGUACCAUUUUGUUCUUGAUGUGAUAGAUGAUGGUAAGUUAAAGGUAUACAAGAUCAAUACUCAUGAUAAUCCUGCUGAUAUGAUGACUAAACCUGUUCCUGUUGUUAAGUUUGAGUUGUGCUUAAGUUGUUGGUUUAGUGGAUUAGCCCAAGAGGCUAUUUGGCGUCAGUGGUAUUUUCUUUGUUAUGUUCAGGAUAAAGGUGUUGAUUUAUGCUACAAGAUGAAUUUGUCUCAAGUUGAAGUUUGUUGAAUAUGUUUUAAAUUCAGUUGCAUAUUAUAAAGGCCGACUUCUGACUGAGCGAAGCGGAGGCCCGUCGCCGGAGGUUUGGACCGGAGCAAAGCGAAGGCAGAAGUGGCCCAUUAGUGUCACCCUUGUUGUCACUUUGGGGGUUCCGGGGGCUGGCUAACCGCGGUACGGUAUAUAUAUAUAUAUAUAUCCAAUUAGGGUUCCUAAGAAUAUAUGAUCUUGUAAGUCGCCGCACGGCGUUAUAAUCUAACUUUUGAUAAUAUUGAGGAGUGUUUGCUGGCUGGUGCCCGUAGUUUGUUCCUUUCACAUUGAAGGGGUUUUUCGUAUUAAAUCUUAUGUCUCUGCUAUAUUUUGAUGUUGUGUUCUUCGUCGUUUAUGUGUCGUCGUUCACAACACGAUGAUAUGCUGUUUUUUUUUGCAAUCUUCACCAUGCUCUAGUGUUUUGGAGUCUGGCCCAUCUUCUAUGCCAACAAGGAAUGCAUAUAAUUUUUAAUGCGAACGCAGUUCUACACGAAAGUCACAAAAUCCAAAUAAACUACACAAACAACAUCGCAACCAAUGCCAAAAGCGGCGCCAACAACAGCAGAGCUGGCGCCGGCCGACCACUGGCGCUGAUUAUCUGGACCGGGAACAGGCAGCCGCGCGUGGAGGCGUUCUUGUCUGUUAUCUUGGCGAGCCCGUCGAAUUCGCAGGCGCGCACAUCCUGGUCCUGCAUCUGGAAGUACAUGUUGAAGGCGUAGGAGAUGUUGCUCUUCUCGUCCAGCCCGUUGCAGGAGCAGCCGUAGCCGAGCGCCGUGCAGUCGCCGCUCGCACAUGCGUACUGCAGGUUUCCUGGCAGCUUCGACUUGUCCUUGGCCCCGUCGUCGAACACGCACCACUGGCUCGGGAGGUACUUGACGUCAGUCACCGGCGAGAGGAGCUUGUCAUGGCCCUGCCCCGUCAGAUCGAUGGGGAACUUGGGCUUGCCGUCGUAGGUGAAGAUGCCCCAGUGCCGCUCGAAGUUCCCCGGCGCGAUGCUCUUCAUGUCCUCGUCGAACAGGCCGAACAGGUAGACCUCCAUCUUGCCCUUCCGGACCGGGGUGCCUUCGUUCUUGGCCAGCUUCUUGAGGAGGCCGUCGUAGAACCGCCGCGCCAGCUUGAGGUUGGCGUUCUUGUUGCCGUCGGUAGGCCAGCCGGCCUCGCCGACGAUGACCUUGAGGUUGGGCACGCCGGCCUUCUUCAACGCGUGCACGAGCGUGUCGUAGUUGGCGUCGAACACGUUGUCGUAGUUGACGCCGCCCUUGUCGUUGAUGUUCUUGCCGCCGUCGAAGAAGGCGAACUCGAAGGGGAAGUUGCUGCUCUGGUACAGGCUGAGGAAGGGGUAGAUGUUGACGACGAAUGGCGCGCCGUGGUCGUGCAGGAACUUGACCAUGUCCGUCAUGAGGUCGUCGAUGUCAGGCCGGAACGCGCCGGACGAUGGCUUGUCGUCGGGGGAGACGUACACGUCGGCGUUGAGCGGGACGACUGCCUUCACUUUGUCGCCGACGCCGGCCUCGUCAAGUGCCUUCUGGAUGUUCUUGAGCGCCGGGAAGGUGGUCUUCAUGAAUGACCCGUUGUAGGCCUUGAGAAAUGGCUCGUUCCCCACUGCCACAUACCUUCUCGAUCAUCAAGCAAACAACAACAUUUUGUUCGUCAUUAGCUAGAAAACCAAUUCAUGAAUGGCAUUGCAGGAUGAUGCGAGAGGCAAAUGUACUUGAGCUUAAGCUUGUCACCGUAGGAGGUGACGUUCUCGUUGACCCAAUCCUGGGCAUUGCCGUAGCUGCUGCUCAUGGUCUCGAGCAUGUCGUUGGGGAUGCCGAGCAUGACCUCGAUGCCGGAGUCGACGAGGGCACCGACGGGCCAAGGGUCGGCGUCGAACAACUUCACCCUGGCAAUGCCGUUCUUCUUGAGCAUCUUCACCACGGAGUCGGGGAGAAGCGGGUGCGAGAGCUGCGAGCCCCAGUUCACGCCGACUUCCACGAUGUUGUUGUCGUCGGCCAUGGCGGCCGGCGGCUGUGAUGCCGCUAGCAGCAGCACGGCCGCGCCGGCCAGCAGCUGCAGGAACCGAGCCAUGCCGCGUUGUCGCCUGAUCAUUUUCCUUGCGUUUGGAUGGAUCACAGUCACGGGUUUGGGAGGUCAGGAUUCGGUGGAGCUCGUGAGCUGCAUCUCUCCUCUCCUCUCCUCUAGAUGGAGGGAGAGGAGAGGAAAAUGGCGGGUAAAACGGUUGCACAGAGACGUGGAAGUCUCGGCCUCAGAAAAAGGACGAAAUAAUACUAGAGUUGGACCUUUCUGGAGACGUCAUUGAGCGCCCGUUUACUAGAGAUAGUAAGUAGUUUUUAGUAGGGCCAUACAUACAUCGCUGGACAUGCAAAUUGCCAACGACCUCUAUUUCUAUUUUCAGGCAAGGUGUGCAUGAAACACAAGGUUAGAGGAAUAAGGAUGACGAACACAAAAAAAAUAUGUAAAUGACAUCCAAAUAAUGUUUAUAUUCUGUAUAAUGUAUCCCAGAUUUAUAGUCUUUUGCACCAUAAAAAAUUCUUAUAUUUUUACCAACAAAAUAAGCUCCAAAAAGCGUGCGUUUUGGCGUAAAAUUUCUUGAGACAUAGAUUAUUGCCUACUUCAUCAGUUUGGACACAUGCAUGCUAAUUAUUGUUUCAAAACUUUUGGUAUUUAUCUGUUGACAGAUUUUUUUUACUGAAUCUAUCAGAUUUCCAUAAGUUUGAUUGUACUUUACGAUUUGUGCUACGCUACUUUAGGAUGUGUUUGGAUUGAAGGAAUACCAUAGGAAAAUUGGAGGAAUUAGAAACAAAGGAAAGAAAACUAGAACGAGCGUUUGGAAUGCAGGAAUCACCCCAACCUGUUCCUCUAGAAUACUGUAGUUGGUGAGCAAUUUCGUAGGAAAGAAAGAAUCCAAUCUGAUCUUGUUUUGUUUUCCAUCGCUGAAGCCCGAGGUAACGCAUGUGAAGUGGAGGAGAAAAGAGCAGCCCUACUGUGGCCCCUGCACUUAGCGCUCAGAACUAAGGAAUAAGGACUAGUUAGGCCUUGUUUAGUUGGACAAAAAUUUUGGCUUUAGCUACUGUAGCAUUUUCGUUUAUAUUUGGUAAUUAUUAUCUAAUUAUCAUUAACUAGGCUUAAAAGAUUUAUCUCGCAAAUUAUAAUUAAACUGUACAAUUAGUUAAUUUUUUUGUCUAUAUUUAAUGCUCCAUACAUACGUCUAAAGAUUUGAUGUGACGGAGAAUCUUAAAAAGUUUUGGAACCUAAACAAGGAUUAAAAAUCAGAGAGUUCUCCUUUUUUUAGGUACUACGUACAUCAGUUAUGGGACCCACACCUUGUGGGGUCAUAUUAGUGCCUAAUAAAUACAGUAAACACAUGCAUGUCAAAUGGAAGAGAGGAUGACCUUAGUUUUUCCAUCAUAAAUUUUCACCACUCAAAUAUAAUUAAUUAGCACUCAUAUUUGGCUAGCAUAUUAUGAUUCCAACACUAGUACAAAGAGAUACUAUACUGGCGGUUCGCAAUCCCUUUGUACAGGCGGAUUGACGAACCGCCAGUGGCUAUAGGCCUGUGGAAAUAAAAGUUUCCACAGGCGGUUAACUGAGAACCGCCUGUAGAAACAGAUUUCUACAGGCGGUUCAGUUAUGAGAUCCGCCUGUGGAAAUCAAUUUCUACAGGCGGUUCUUUUUUGUAAACCGCCUGUAGAAAUUGGAUUCUACAGGCGGUUCUCAUAACAGAACCGCCUGUGGUAAGAUUUUCCAAUUUAACCUUAUUUUCCAGCAAACCCUAUUUUUAAUAUAUAUAUAUAUAUUAUAUACAUUAAUAUUGAAACUAUGUUAGGCUACAAGAUUCAACCAAUGCAACAUGCAAUAUAUUUAUAUAUACCAUUACUUUGUACAUAAAAUUAUAUUAAUUACAAACAUCACACAUCAAAGUUUUUUGUUUACAGACAUAUGAGGUUUCACAUCUGAAACCUCUGCUCUAAUAACACGAUCGAGAUAGCUUUAGCCUACUAAUAUCUCUUAGCGCUAUAAACUCAGGCUUUGCUAGGACGCUGGUCGGGUCGUGAUAUUUCCCUUCGGUGGAAAUAGCUUCUCUCAAGAGAAAAGUGCAGAGGUCCUCAACUAUGUUAUAUAGAACAGCUUGAGUCACGCUCUUCGCCUUUUCCAACUCAUGUUGCUGCAGAGGAAGUUAGAAACAUCAUAAAUUUAUAGUUCAUAUAACACAUGCUUAGCAACAAAAAAUGACACAAAUAAUAUAAACGACUAUUAGAGCAAUACCUUAGAAGGGUUAGUUACAUAUCUUCCGGUCUCUCUCAUGAACUCGCAGACGUAGAAUCCACAGUGGACCGAUCCGACUGGUUGCUUAUGGCACUGAUGUAUGACAAAAAAGUGGAUAUUUAUUAGUUGCAACAUCGUCAUAUGCAUAUUAUAUUUAUAAAAGACAGCUUGUGAUAUUUUGGUACGUACCGGCCAUUUAUAAAAUAAUCUCAAUGGCUACCCCGGUUCUGAUGAAUCACACCUUCCACCUUUGAUCUUAUAAUACCUAUAGGCCCUAUAGUAUCGAAUACACAAUCCUGAAGUUAUUCUGAAACUCUUAUAAAAGUAGGUAUUAAUAUUUAAUGUACUCAGCUUACCGUUCCAAGUGUGUAAUGAAUUUUGCAUAACUUGAAGGAUCAUAGUCUGCAGAGUCUAGGACUAGCACACGUCCUAGACUAGGAUUAAUGAGGAGGUAGAUCCAGUGGUCCCUGAGAGAAUCGAAUUUAUGAUGCAAGUGCCCAUUGAAAUUACUAAUACGACGAUGAAUACAAAUUGACACUUACCCAAAGUUGUAUGGGGCAACAACACAUUCUCGAUCUUGAUACUUGAGCAGUGCCAAGGCUAUGUAGAGGUCGUAUUUACAUUCAUAAUCUAGUCGACUUUCAUCUAUUAUCUUCUUACACUCAGCGGGGUCCAAACCUUCUAAGGAGUCGUGUUUGUCUCUGAUUCUGAAGUUGUGCUGCUCCUCGCAUCUGUAGGUAAGGCCUCUGGAGGAACUAGGGGUUGUCCUGUCGGGCUUACAUCUGUAAUUCUAAAUGUGACUUUUGGAAACUGAUUCAAUCCUCUGUCACCUCGUUUCCUUUUCCUAUCAUCAGUCUUCUCGGUGGUUGUCUCCGUCGUCGGUUCGGGUGCACCUUCAUGUGUGAAUUCUUUCUGGGAUAGGAUCUCUUUCAGCUCAUGAAACUGAGAUAACACCUCCUGUUCAUGUUAAAAGUUAAACACAUAAAUCAUUUUUGUACAUAUACUGAGGGAGAUAAAAGUUAGAAAGAUUUAAUUAUGGAUGAGUAAUUCAUCACCUCAUCUACUUCUGGAAUGUAAUCAGGGUCACGUUCUAAUUCACGACGAGCGUUCCUCUCUAUGCGAGGAUCUGGAAUGUCGCUAGGGGAGGUCUCGUACGAAGGACUUGAUUCACGUUCUUUUGCAUUCUCUGUGUGGUCCGACCCUUGCGCUUGCUCGGUGCUGUGUGACACUUGCACCUUCUCUGUGUGGUCCGAACCUUUUGCCGGUGCUUGGUCGAUGCGGUCAGACCCUGACGCUUGGUUUGGGGUUGGAGAAGUCAUCGUGAUAAUCUAUUCAAAUAAUUACUUAGCAUUAUAAAUAAUGUAUAUACAUAGACACUUAAACUAAAAGCAAAUAUAAAGUUUAUUAAUUGUUUAUUAUUUUUACACAUAAAUAAAUAUAUGCAAUUUACAUAUAUAUAUAUAUAUAUAUAAUUGCAUUAUAAAUAAUUGGAUUAUAAAAAAGAAAUAAUAACUACUUAGAUUAUGCUAUAAUGUAUAUACAUAGACACUUAAACUAAAAGCAAAUAUGAAUUGCAUUGUAAAUAAUGUAUAUACAAUUAAUAAUUUUAAGAAAAAUAAAACAUCAUAUACAUCAAAUAAGAAAAAUAAAAAAUAAUUACUUAGGAUAUGCAUAAUGUAUAUUUAUCUAGGACAAUUAACAAUUAAUAAUUAUUUAGGACAAUUAAUAAUUAUUUAGGACAAUUAAUAAUUUUAAGAAAAAUAAAACAUCAUAUAUAUUUAUCUAGGACAAUUAAUAAUUAAUAAUUACUUAGGACAAUUAAUAAUUAUUUAGGACAAUUAAUAAUUAUUUAGGACAAUUAAUAAUUAAUAAUACAUCAUAUAUAUUUAUUUAGAACAAUUAAUAAUUAUUUAGGACAAUUAUACAUCAUAUACAUCAAAUAAGAAAAAUAAAAAAUAAUUAUUUAGGAUAUGCAUAAUGUAUAUAAGAAAAUUAAAACAUCAUAUACAUUUAUUUAGGACAAUUAAUAAUUAUUUAGGACAAUUAAUAAUUUUAAGAAAAAUAAAACAUUAUAUACAUUUAUCUAGGAUAAUUAAUAAUUAAUAAUUAUUUAUGACAAUUAGUAAGUAUUUAGGAUAAUUAAUAAUUAAUAAUACAUCAUAUAUAUUUAUUUAGAACAAUUAAUAAUUAUUUAUAAUAAUUAUACAUCAUAUACAUCAAAUAAGAAAAAUAAAAAAUAAAAAAAUAAAACAAUGGCCGCUAGUGGGCCGGCCCAGCUGGGCUGACGUCCCACCGGCCCCUGCCCCUCCCCCUCCCUCUCACCCUCACCCUCUGCACUGCCGCAAGGCCGCCGCCACCGCCGCCGCCGCCGCCUCGGGUGACCACCCCGACGCCCUGGCCGCCUCGACUCCCCCCGCCUCCCAACGCCGCCUCGACUCCCCCACGGCGGCCGCACUGGCCACGUCGCCGCCGGCGAGCCGCGGCCGCCGCGCGCGCUCUCUGCCUCCGCCGCCGAGCUCCCGCAUCGGCCGGCGCGCGAAGCCGCCCUCGCCGCAGCCGCACGCGCACCCACUCCCACGUCGCAGCCGGGAGCUUACCUCGAAGAGAAGAUGCCGGCGAGAAGGAGAAGGAGAAGGUCGCCGGCGAUGGGAAAUUUGGGCAGCCUGGCGGCGUGUUUGAAUAGAGACUGGCGCCUUUGGGGACUUAGAAAAUUUCAGGUCUGCGCGCGGAGUAUAUAUGGCCUCGAUUUCUACAGGCGGUUGGCAUUGACCACCGUCUGUAGAAAUGCCUCUACACAGGUGGUGUUGAAUACCACCCGCCGGUACAAAGUUUUUUGUAAUUUUUAUUAUUAUUAUUGUUUUCUAUAUUUUUUGCUACUAUUUUUUAUUGCAUAUUGAUAUUAUAAUAUAAUAAUAUUUUAACAUAAUUAUUUCUAUAUUCUAUAUUGGUAACAUAAUUAUAUUGUUUAUAUAUUAUUUGUAUAAUGAUAUUAUAAUAUAAUUAUAUUGUUUCACACCUAUAUAUUAUUUUUAUAUUAUUUUAAAUUUCAAAUGCAUAUUGCAUAUUGUAUGAAAGGUAGAGCUUGAUGAGCUCUAACUCCUCUCUAUCCAAAACUUUUUCAUUUGAGGACUUUUAGUGCCUAGUUGGACCUAGUUUGACCUAGUCAAAAUUUGAAAUUUCACAUUUCCACAGCUACACACACGUUUUCGAAACCCGAGACGUCCCCAACUCGAAAAGGUCAUGAAUACAAAGUUUGUUCCACUCAUCAAGAUAUACAUUUCAUACAUAGGACAUUUUUGCAUUUGACAAAGCGUUUCAAAAGUGUAGUUCUAAAUCCACAAGUCUCACAUAUAGUUUCAUAAAGUUUGUGUCACAUUCAACACUUUGUGACUAGAGUUUACCAAUCCUUUCCCAUAUGCCAAAAUAUCCUAUGUAUGGAAUGUGUAUCUUGAGGAGCUCUAACACCCAUGUAUUCAAAAAAUUUUCAUUUGAGGUCAUUUAGUGCCUAGUUUGACCUAGUUUGACCAAGUCAAAUCUUGGAUUUUUUCUGAAAAGUCACUUUGACCGGACCCUUGGUAGCCUCAGAUACAAAAGUCAUGAAUACAAAGUUUGUCCAGCUCAUCAAGAUACACAUUGUGUGUAAGGGUCAACUUUUCAUUGGAGAGAGUUUGGACCACUCAAAAUUUAAAAUUUCACAUUUCCACAGCUACACACACGUUUUCGAAACCCUAGACGUCCCCAACUCAAAAAGUCAUGAAUACAAAGUUUGUUCCACUCAUCAAGAUAUACAUUUCAUAAAUAGGACAUUUUUGCAUUUGACAAAGCGUUUACAUGAUGAAUCACAGAUACAAUCUAGGCCGCUACUAUUCUUCCUUGUCCAUCAGGGCGCACCCAUGGCAAAGAACUCUGUGGGAUGCUUCGCUCAAUAUUUUUUAUCUUCAUAGGAUGGUCCACAAAGAGGGACAUAUCACGGAAUUGGUUAAAAUCCUCCAGAUCCGAUACACCGUCAACUCCAACUGCUUGUUGCUUUCCUGGAAAAACUACAUGCUUCGGUUUGUCGGCACUUUUCUUCUCAUUCUUAGAAAGGAUCUGCUCAGCAUAGAAAACCUGUGCAACACGAUUAGCAAGGAUCCAUGGGUCAUCUUUAUAUCCCACCUUACUUAGAUCAAGAACUCUGACCCCAUAAUUAUCCACUGUGACAUGUUUAUCUUCAACCCAUUGACAUCGAAACACAGGGAUCUGAAAUGUACCAUAGUCUAGUUCCCAUAUGUCCUCGAUGAAGCCAAAGUAUGUAAUAAUAUCACCAGUUUUGUCAUCUACGGCCUCGCAUCGAACACCACUAUUUUGUGUCAUGCUCUUUUGGUCCUUAGACAUGGUAUGAAAUGUGAAUCCACUUAUGUCAUAGGUUUGCCAUGUUAUGACUUGGCGUGAUGGUCCAGAUGCCAAAGCCUUGAUGGUUUGUUUCUCAAUUGUUUCCCCAUAUGGAAUGUCCUGCUCCCUUAGCCAUGUGUACAACUGUUUCUUGUGUUCCUUCAUUACCCAAUCCUCUGUUUGCCUAGGAUUAUGUUCUCGAAGCUCAUCCAUGUGUUGUUCAAUCAAAUGCUCCAUUAUCGAGAGCUGAUGUAAGAUGCUGUGAUGUGCCUCAAGUAUUGUAUUAUAAUCUGGUGGGAUGAAUGAUUUUCGUCCAAUCCUCCCAAAUCCAUGUAUCCUACCCUCAUGUCUUGACGGAGGCAAACCUAUUGCAACCUGGUCUUUUAGGACAUUAUUGCAGAAUGGUCCACCGGACUCAAUCGCCUCUUCGGUACAAUACCCCUCUAUCAUGGACGCCUCGGGACGAGCACGAGUUGAUACAUAGCCAUUUAGUAUUGACAUAAAACGCUCGUAAGUCCACAUUUCAUGCAGGUACAUGGGACCCAGUGCCUGUAUUUGUGGAACCAAGUGCACCACAAGGUGCACCCUGAUAUCAAAGAAUGAUGGGGGGAAACACAUCUCAAACUGUGACACUGUUUCCACUGCGAAUUCCUGAAGGGAUUCUAACUCAUCACGAUCAAUUACCUUUUGUGUGAUCUUGUUGAAAAAGUAGCACAAUUGUGUGACUGCCAUCUUUAAGAAUACUGGAUUUAUAGCCCUUAUUGCAAUAGGGAGGAAAGUAGUCAGCAUGACAUGACAAUCAUGUGAGUUGUAGUUGGUGAGUGCUAGGUCUUUCAUUGACACAAAACUCCGUAUGCUAGAGCAGAAUCUAGAUGGGACUUUCAAUUUCUUCAACCACUCACACAUCGCAUGUUUCUCAUCUAUGUUGAGGUUGUAGCUUGCUGCUAGGAGAUGGUACUUCCCAUUUUCUUGAAGAACAGGAUGAAGCUCUUUUUUUAUGCCUAACUGCACCAUGUCAAAGCGUGAAUUGAGUCCUUCCUUUGUCUUGGUCUUGAUGUCUAGCAAUGUGCCAGUUAGACUUUCGAACACAUUCUUCUGGACGUGCAUACCAUCGAUCGCGUGUCGUACAUCCAAGUCUUUCCAGUAUGGCAAAUACUCAAAGAAAAUGGACUUCUUCUUGAAUGUUGCCCCUGGAGUUGAUUUGACAUCCUUUCUUAAUUUUCCAUCCUUUGUCUUCUUUCCAAACACAAAUUUAAUGUUGCUGACUAUUUUGAAAACUCUAUGGCCUUUGCUAUUACCUAGUGGUGCAUCUGAGUUCCUUUCAUCAUUAUUGUCAAAGUACUUAUCCAUCUUUUUCACGCGGUACUUGUGUCCUUUCGAUAAGAAGCGUCUGUGCCUCAUGUACACUAUCUUCUUAGAUGCAUUAAGGGACACGUAAUGGGUUCCAUCUAUGCACACCACGCAACCAACCUUUCCCUUGAAUUGCCCUGAUAAAAUAAAGAGAGCAGGGUAAUCGUUGAUAGUAACAAAAAUAAUUGCUCUUAGCGUGAAUGAAUCUUUGCGAUACUUGUCCAACAUUUGAACACCUUUUUCCCAUAACAUUUUCAUUUCCUCCAUCAAUGGCUCCAGGAAAACAUCCAUGUCAACUCCAGGUUGAACUGGUCCAGAGAUAAGUAAGGUUAGCAAAAGGUAUUUUUGCUUCUGCAUCAACCAUGGAGGGAGGUUGUAGAUGGUGAGAAUCACCGGCCAUGUGCUAUGCUUGCUGCUCCUCUCAGCAAAUGGAUUCAUUCCAUCUGUACAAAGUGCGAACCUAACAUUCCUUGGUUCGCUGGCAAAGUCUCGGUGGUUGUCAUUGAAAUCUUGCCACUGCUUUCCAUCGGUUGGAUGGCGAAGCUUGCCAUCAUUUUUGUGCUCAUCAGAAGCAUGCCAACUUAUAAGUUUUGCAUCCUCAGGGUUAGCAAACAAACUCCUCAGUCGAUCUACCACUGGAAGGUACCACAUCACUAAAGCAGGAAUCUUUUUCUACGCAUAAUAGUCAACCUCUUCUUUAUCUUUGCUCAUGGGUUUUGAACUCUGUUGGGUGUUCUUUUGGGCCUUCUUUCGCUUCUUCCCUGCUUUACACAUGGAGGCAGCACAAUCCUCUCGAUAGUCUUUGUUUGUCUUGUACCGACUUGCACCACACUUUGGACAACUAUCCAAGUCCUUGUAAUCAUCACCUCGGUACAGGAUACAAUGAUUUCUACACGCAUGGAUCUUCUCGACACCCAUAGUCAGCGGACUGAUCAGCUUCUUUGCAUAGUACGUGUUAGCAGGAACUUUGUUCUCCUUUGGAAGCAUAUCGCCGAUAAUACUUAAGAACGCAUCGAAUCCAGCAUCGGACAAACCAUACCUGGCUUUUGCCAUCAACAGUUUUAGCACAGCUCGUAACGUUCUGUACUCUUUGGUACAACCUUUAGACUCAUCAUACAAAGGCUCUUCUGUUGCCUUCUUCAAGGCCUCCAUCCCUUUCAUUAAUAACAUUGAAGGUUCAGUAUGACGACGCAACAUUGCCUCCAAGAAUUCAGCAUCUUCUGCAGCCGUAUCAUUUGGUAAGACAUGAGUUCUUGCACCAUCAUUUCCCCCAGCAGAUCCACCAGCGGUAACAUUUGGCACAACAUGUUCACUCUGGGGUGUGUCGUGGAAAAACUGAUCAGCAGGCAUGCCUAGACCAUCGGUGUCGAUGUGUGCUGGGUCCCCAACUGUAUAAGGCGCUGAGCUACCCUCUCCAUGCUUUGUCCAAAUCAAGUAAUCCUUCAUAAAUCCUCAACAGACUAGAUGAGAAAUGAUUACUUCAGUAUCUUCAAAUAGAAGAAUAUUUCUGCAGUCGUAGCAUGGACAAUAUAUAUGCUUCGUCUUUGUUCUCAAAGCAUGGUUCUUAGCGGCAUCAACAAACAUAUGCACCUCAGGUAUAUAUGAUGGAUCUAGUCUUGAUAAGUUAUACAUCCAUAAGGACCUCUCCAUCAUGACCUAUUGAAAAGUUAGUAAAUUAAUUGAAAUAUUGUCUACGAAUAUUUGUUAUUAAAAAUAAAAGAAGACCUAACAAUUAAAUCAAAUUGAAAAAGGAAUCAUAGAAAUGGUGAGAGGAGAGGCAACAUCUUAUACAAGAGGGCACAAAAAUGCUUAUCGCGUAAUUAAAUCAAAUUUACAUAAAAAAUAACAUCCUAAACAAUAUAAUUUAAAAAACUAAAAAGAAAACUUACCUUUCUUAGCCACCUCCACCUCCUUCCAAGAAAUGAAGAUCAAAACCUCAAACCUUGUAUUUUGACCUGUUGAAAAGUUAGUAAAUUAAUUGAAAUAUUGUCUACGAAUAUCUGUCAUAAAAAAUAAAAGAACACCUAACAAUUAAAUCAAAUUGAAAAAGUAAAACAAGUAUAAAAAAUAAAGACAAAACCAUAAAUAUAUAUCUUUAUAUCACUAAAAUAAAUUUAACAAGGUACAAAAACACUGUUGAUUGAAACUAAAUAUAUUAUAUCACUAAAAAAUUUGAGAAGGAAACAUGGAAAUGGUGAGAGGAGAGGCAACAUCUGAAGCAACCUCAUAUAUAAAAAAUGCUUAUCGCGUAAUUAAAUCAAAUUUACAUAAAAAAUAACAUCCUAAACCAUAUAAUUUAAAAAACUAAAAAGAAAACUUAUCUUUCUCUCUCAAGCAUGGAAACACCAUUCAUGGAAAACUACUACAUAUAUAUUUCUUGGAUUCACAAAUUAGAGAAGUAAACAUAAAAAACAAGAUAGGAGAGACAUCAUAUAUCCAUCUUAAGCAACUUUAUUUGAGCAAAAUAGACCAUACCUAGCUAUUCUACUCUCUCUCUCAUGGUGAAACCCUAGAUCCAAAAAGUAGCUCAAAUUGAGCAAGAGGGCACAAAAUGAGGCAUUAGAGGCAUCAACUAACCUUUCUUAGCCACCUCCUUCCAAGAAAUGAAGAUCAAAACCUCUCCCCUUGUAUUUUGGAAAAACUGGACCUCCAAGAUGUGCUCCAAUGGAAUGUGGCUGCUACCUACAGUUCUGCCCGAGGAGGAAGAAGGGGUUCUGGGGUAUUUAUAGGAAGAUAAAUGACAGGCGGUUCAGUUAUGUGAACCGCCUGUGUAAAUCCAUUAACACAGGCGGUUCACAUAACUGAACCGCCUGUGUAAAUGAUGCAUUUAUACAGGCGGUUUUGUUACAAUAACCGCCUAUACGGAGCCUUUUAUACAGGCGGUUUUCAAUUCUAGCCGUAGAAAUUUUCAACAUAGGCGCAUUAUAACUAAAACCGCCUGUAGAAAUGUGUUACCCCCGCCGGCUUAGAACCUCUGUGUUUAUGAAUUACUGUGUUCCAAACCGCCUUAAUUUUUUAUUCGUGCGUUUUGAAACCUUAUAGUUUUUCACUUUUCACCAUUUCUUAUUCCUGUGUUUUUUCCUAUUCUUGUGUUUUGAAUUCCUUCGUUCCAAACAGGCCCUAAACUGGGAAUAGUGGUGUCUGCUCAUCAGUAAUUGAUAUAGGAAAAAGUCUACAUAACCCCCCAAACUAUCUAGGCUGGACUACUUCACCUCCCAAACUAUGAAACCGGAUAUUCUACAUCCUGAACUUUCAAAACUAGUCAAAUAACCCCCUCGAGUGGUUUUGGAGGGUGGUUUUGUCUUUUUCUUUUUUAUUUAUUUUUGCUGAAUCUUUGAAAAAUCAUAAUAAAUCAUAGAAAAAAUCAUAAAAUGAGAAUUUUAAUUUUUUUUGGACUCUUGAUGAGUUGAUCUACACAGUGAAUAUAUAAUAUGGUAUACUUAAGUACAAAGUUUUUGCUGUAGCUUUAAAUUUAUGUUUUUCUGUAAUUAAUUUGAAUAAUUCAUAUAUGCAGUUCUUGUGGUCCAAUUGUGGUAAACUCUUUAUGGUGGACUCAUUAUUGUAUGCUUGAACUAUGGUAAAAAUUUCAUACUCAUUGGAUCACGUAUAACUUAGUUAUAGAUAAAGCAUAGAUUUAACAAGAAUAAAGCUAAAUAAAUUGAUAACUAAGUUAUACGUGAUCCACUGGGUAUGAAACUUUUACCAUAGUUCAAGCAUAUAAUAAUGAGCCCACCAUAAACAUUUCACCACAAUUGGAUCAUAGGAACUGCAUAUAUCAAUUAUUUGAUUUAAUUACAGAAAAACAUAGAUUUAAAGUUACAACAAAAACUUUAUACUAAAGUAUACCAUAUUAUAUAUUCACUGUGUAGAUCUACUCAUGAGAAGUCCAACAAAAUUGAAAUUUUUAUUUUAUGAUUUUUCUAUGAUUUAUUAUGAUUUUUCAAAGAUUUAGCGGAAAUAAAUAAAAAAGAAAAAGACAAAACCACUAUCCAAAACCACUCUAGGGGGUUAUUUGACCGGUUUUGAAAGUUCAGAGGAUAAAAUAUCCGGUUUUAUAGUUCGGGGGGGGGGGUGAAGUAGUCCACCCUUAAUAGCUUAGGGGGCUAUGUAGACUUUUUCCAAUUGAUAUAUGCCCUUUCACUCCAUUACUUGGUCACCAUUAUAUCGUGUAACUGUUCAAUUUAUUUGAGCAUCGAUAAUUCUAGUAUUUAUUGAAUUAUUGAAGUUGUCCUUGUAUUUUCUUAUUUUUUUUAAAAAAAGAAAAUAUAUUUUAGUUGGCUAUUCAGUUUAUCCCCAAAGUUAGCAUUUGUCCUUUACAGAAUUAGCACAGAGCAUGAAAAGUUUGGUUUUGAAGUUGACACAAUCAUUGGUUUGUAGGAAAGAUAUGAAAUAAUGAGGAAUUAGAUGCCUAAAGUUGGUACUCUUGGCCUUGAUAUGAUGUUCUGGACAUGUACUAUGCAGGUGAGCAUAUUUUUUAUGCUUUUCUGACAUAGUCUUAUUCACCUUUGUCUUGGGAGUUGUUGGGCUUUACUCAGUUUGUUUAAAGAUCCCUGUCUCCUCUACUCCUGCUUCAAGUGUAUCCAUACGUUUUAACUGAACUAGAACAUGCAGCCUUAGAAAAAAUAUGACUGAAAUUCUUAAAGUGUAUGUUUUUGCUCUCAUAUGUUUCUCUGGUUGGCACCUUAGGUGCCUGAUAUAAACCACCUUCAAGGAAAUGCCUCGUUUGCAUUUGUUCUUGUAAAAGGUCAGAUUUAUAUUGCUUACCUAAUUACCUGCACUUAGCUAGUUUCCAUUAAGUGAUCUAAAUCAGUCCAUGUUUUGGUUCUAAAUAUUUUUUUGUCAACUCUAUAGGAUUUCAGUCAGCAAGCACAAAAGUCGAUUGUGGAAGAGUGCACUAGUCAUCUUUUGGUGUUAGUUAUUUUCCAGCUACUUUUGUUGGUUCAUCAUACUAGUAGGAUGGAUCUAGCUAGAGUAGUGAAAAUCUAAAUUUUAUUUGUAAAGGAUGUGUUUCCUGAACUACACAAACUAUGAAUGAACAAUCUUGAAGUUUAUUUCCUGUAACAAAUGUGGUAGGCCUAAAUAGUUUAAUUCUCUUUGUAUAUUUGGAUGAUGACUAUGACUUAUGUGAUGUGGUUAGAUUUGGUAUUAUAUAUAUGCUAUGCUGUGGUUCGAUUGGAUUUGAAAUUAUAUAUGCUGUGCUAAUUGCUUCAUUACAAUUUGAUUAUUGUAUUUUUUGGCUGUAGUUGUGUCUUUACCGAGGGCCCUAGCAAUAGCUCUCGGCAAAGAUAUUUUUUUAAAAAAAUCCUAUACAUUUCUUUGCCGAGGGCUAGGGAUGAUGCCCUCGGCAAAGGUCUUUUUUUUUAGAAAAAUAAAAAUUUUCUUUGCCGAGGGUCUAGAAAAAACCUUCGGUAAAGAUUUUUUUAAAAAAAACAUUUCUUUGCUGAGGGCUGGCUCUCGGCAAAGAAACCGUUAACAGUGUCGGCGCCGUGAUGACUGCUUUUCUUUGCCGAUGGCCAAUCUUGGCCCUCGGCAAAGGCUUUGCUGAGUGCCUGAUAAAGGACCCUCGUUAAAGACCCUUUUGCCGUCUAAAAAUUUCUUGAGGGGUCUUUGCCGAAGGCAGCCCUCAACAAAGGCUUUGCCGAGGGUUUUUGGGCCUUUACUGAGGGCCUCUGCCUUCGACAAAGCAUGCGAGUCCAGUAGUGAGUACCUCCCUGCCUUCCACGAUGGGCCGCCAAAUUCUUGAAGGAGACAGUCCGAUCUCUGCACAAGGAAACCAGUGACCUGGAAGUAAACGGCUUUAAGAACUCGACCACCAAAAUACUUUGGCUUUGUCAUGUCUUCCCACACCACAUUAAUUUACGAACGUUUAUUUAAAAUGAAUCCAGCAAACGAUCUCCGACCAAUCAAACUAUCCUUUUUAGAAAAGCACUUAGUCCCGCAUGAUACCAUUUUUGGAUGAAUCUAGAGACACGCGACUCCCAAACUCCUUUCGGACUGACGUUGCGUGCACUUUUUUUUCGUAUGCAGCCACACGAGCGACGGUAGUUUUACUUUCAUAUUUUUUUUAAACCACACGCAUAACUUAGAAAACUGAGGUACAUAACAUAACUUUUAAGAUUAACUUAGUAGUUCUAAGUUAUACAACAUUACUUUUUUCUUUUGCGCAAAAUAUAUAGUAUUAAAACCAUUACGAGAAUAGCAUUCUCUUUACGUUUCAACAGUUUUUUUUCAGAAAUUAAUCAUUCAGGAACGUAGAAAAAAAGAUUUUAAAAAGGGUGAAGGAGUAAAAUAAAAAUAACUUUUACACCUUAUAUUGCACAACAACUUCCAUAUAGAUAAUGCGAAGCUACAUAACAAGUUACGUAAUAGAUUUGCAUAACUUAUACAACUAUGAUAUUCAGCGUCCAUGUGUUUUUAGUUGGAAGAUAUGCAAAAUAUAUAAUGUGUAAAAUAAUAAAUUCAAAUAACAAAGUUGACUAGAAGAAACACUUUAGUUAAUAGCAAAUACUAACAUGGUUAUCUAAUAUAAUGUGAUAACACAUGAAACUAAAUGCAGUAAGUUCAUCAAAUAAGUUAAGAUGGCAUACACAUGAAAACACAAGUUAGAUAUAUAACUAUGUAUAAUAAGUUAAUAAAAUAAGUUAGUUAGCAUUCUUUUAUGGAUGGAGGUAGUAAUUUAGAAUAGAGGAAGUAUAUAAGUUACACAAUACAACUUAUGUACAUAAGUUACCAAAAUAAUAUAUUAGUGUACAUACAAAGUUUUGCUUUUAUAAAAGUUAUUCACAUAAACAUAAGUUACACAGUGCAACUUAGCAGAAUAGGUUAGCAACAUAACUUAGCAUAAUAAGUUAAGAGCAUAAUUAUAUGUUAUAAGUUAAUAUACAUAAAUUGCUAUAAAAAAUAAAAUUCUUCGAAAUAUAUGGAAUUGGGGUCUAGUUUUGUUCGCCUUGUCACGUUGAAUACACCGGUGCAGACGGAAUUAAAAAAUAGACACACCGUUUAUAAAUUAUAGUAACUUGAAAUAAAUGUUUUGUUUUUUAUAUGGUGACGUAAGGAAUAAGGAAAAGAGGAGCGGGGGAGGAGAGUAGACGGUCAGUCUGCAUUAACUGUUGGAUCGUUCGCUAUAUCCGAAAUGGAUGAACAUCCGUAGAAAUGAAUUUGGGAUUACCGCAGCCCCACCAAAAAUUACGCAGUAAACCAUCUAAAUUUUGGGCACAAUUCGCGAGGCAACUUGAAGCAGGACGUAGAGAAGGUAGGAAUUGCUUGCGAUACCGAUUUGAUAAGGACCUCCUUACCACCGGCUAACAAACAUGUUAGCAGCAGUGAUCCAAGAAGUACAGAAAGAGGAUAGCACGAUCUAGUUCAGAGGAAUAUCAGGCCGAGGAGUGCUUAUUACAAAUUGAGUUCAUAUUCUCGUUGACCUCUUCCUCCCCCGAUGCUCUGCUUAGAUAGUACUUCCAUACGAACCUCUCGGCAGCUGCCCAAGCUUCACGCCCACGCCGGGCUUUGGACAUGCGUAUUGGGCCGUCGCAUCCUUGUACUCCUUCUCGGCCCAUCUUCCUUGGUGUUGCCGUGUGCGACGUCCUGGUCGGCACCGGCUUCUUCUGCUGCAGCAUCCGAGUUGCUGGCAAAACACUGCUCCAUCCAUCCUUGAACCCUACUCCAGGCCCGGUCUUUUUGAAAUUUGAAACCACCAUUUAUAGCUAAACCCAAAGGCAUUCCCAAAUAUUUCUCCUUGAGGGCUUCAAUGCACUUCAAGAAUAUUCUUGGUUUUCCCUCUCAAGCUUUGACCACACCCCUUAGCAAAAUGAAUUGAUGAUUUUUCCAUGUUUAUUUGUUGGCCCGAAGCUUGAUGAUAAUUGUUCAAAACCUCCUCCACCUCCUGAGCACUCUCCCAUCCGCCUUGGAAAAUAGCACAUCUGCAAAGAGUAGAUGGCUAAGAGCAACUCUAAUAGAUAUGCUAUCCAUGUUGUCUAGGCUAUUUUUACAUUUUUAAAGCAAAAGUUAAACUCCAACUGAUGUGCUAUCUGGUUUGCUAAAAUAGCAAGUUUGCUAUUCCUAAACUUUCGCUUGUCAUAUAUAGCAUGUCGUCCUCACUAGCUAUUUUAUACAAAGGCAGUUGUGGAACUCUAUGCUUUGAGUGAGUUUUUUAUUUUACACAAUGGCUAAAUCUUAUAAUUUAAAAUAUAAUUUUAGCUAGUCUCUUGGAGAUGCUCUAACCAUCUAUACCGACACAGAGGCGGAGCCAGGGGGAUUAGCAGGGGCCGGGCAGUGCCACCUUAAAUAUAUAAGUUUAUAGAAAAAAUAUAUUAAUUUUACAUAAUUAUUUAUUAAAAUAUUAUUAUUUUAGUUAUAAAUAGUGUAUUUUUUGAAAAGUUAUUGAAACAUAUAAUUAUGUAUAUUUUUAUCACACUAAAAAAAUAUAAUCAUAUUUGUUUGGCUCCUCCUUAAUCAAAAUCGAUGGUACCGACAGUGCCACCUUAAUGCCAAUUGAGCUUUGGUGACUGAUCUCUUGAUUUCAAGAGGCACGAAAGGCCCUCGCUGCUAACAAGAAGAGAUAGGGGGAGAUCGAGUCACUUUUGUCUAAUUCCUCGAGAUGAGUAAACGGUUCCAAACAGUUGCCAUUGAGUUGAACUGAAAAUGAUACUGAUGUAACCAAUCUCACUAUCGUUUCAACCCAAAUCUGGUGGAACCCCAACCGAAGCAUAAUUGCUCUCAAGUACGGCCAUUCUACACGAUCGUAAGCUUUUUCAAGGCAAUGAUUGACCAAGGUUGGGUGAUUAAUGGAAUCAUGAAUUCCUCUAAAAGAACACAUGAGGCAACAACUUGGGCUGCGGUCCGUGGCUACGAAUGAAACUGUUCAGUACCAAAUUUAGUUCGGGGUCAUAUUUUACAGACACGGUGCUAGUUUGAUGGGCCGUGCAAAGAUCAGGAUUAGAGCGCGAGGAUCAAGGUCGCUGUUUCUCGUGGCGCGCACUCCAGAUACUCCCUCCCUCCCUAAAUACUUGUUAUUUCUAGGAGAAAAUUUUGUCCAUAAAUACUGCUAUUUCUACCAGCAUACUCAGUCCACCAGCUCAUUUAAUUAUCCUCGGAACUUACGUGGUUCACCAACUCAUUUAAUUUCUUCUAAGGAGUAGUACUUUGGUGCAUGGUAAUUGGUUGAGUCUAUUCAGUUGACAUUAAACGCAGCUCGUUGGAACUAGAGAAUCAUGGCUUAACGUGCAUGAUUAAAUGGUGGAACCUAAAUUAAUGAAGGGCAGAAUGGUCUUUUAUUUGUCACACUAAUCUGUAUGAAAUCUGCUAGAAAUAGCAGUAUUUGGGGACGGAUGGAGUAUAUAUAUAAACCAUCAUAGUUUCUAUAGACAUUAAUUGCAGUGCUACCUAAGUAUUUUGCUGAUGUGGCAAGGUAGUUAUUGAAGAGAGAGAGCAAAAAUCAUAGAAACUGGGUCUAAGUUAGAAAGCAUGUCUACAGGAGAUCCAAGACAUGAAGUGAUAUGAUUGAUUGAGAAUGAAGAAAGAAUAAAUAUGAUUGGAUAAAAAUUGUUCUAUAGAAACUAUCCAUUGGGACAUUAAAAAUUACUUCGGUAGUUUCUAAAUAUGAUUUUGCUAAUGUUUAUAGAUAUAGAAACUACAUGUACUCUCUAGCAAUAGGAGUGCCCUUAUUUGUAACGGGAGAAUGGCCGAUGGGUGUGAAAUGUACUUGUCCUCUGCUUGCAGCUCAAGACGAAUAAGAUCUGACCUAUUUUCUAGCCUCUUUUGUCUUUUGACUUAGACCAUCCUCAAUGAAAGUUUGAUAAUCCAGUUUCCAACACAUCUAUAUUUUGGAAAACAAUGGAGAAGAGUUUCAUAGGGAUAUAACUCUCUCUACUCCGAUAAAACUUUUAUCAUCUCUCUUUUAUUAAUAUAGUACCACAUCAGUAUAUUUAGCAUAAAACUCUAAUUAAACAACCAUUGAGACUGACCUUAUUGGUUGAUCGACUCGAUCCAUCGCCCACUGGUUUCGUUCCUUUGCCGGUCUCACAUGGGUCAGCGUGCCAUGGCCAAUCAUAACGGUAAAGUUUAUUUUAUCUUUGAGGGUAUGUGCCCUCACUCUCUCACCAUUAGAUUUUUACAGUAUAUAAACACACAUUUCAAUAUAAAAUUAUUUUAAAAUGUAUGUUUGCAUACUUCUCAGGACGAAUUUAAUGGGUGAGAGAGCGAAGAUAUGUGCUUUAAGAGGGAAAAAAUCGCCUUCCAAUCUUGACUAACCGGAGACCCUGCUACGGUGCGCUUGCGGUCAUCUGUCAUCUCAGAGGAAAAGUUAGUUCCCAACGCACUGGCUUGCUGAGUGCAGUAAUGGACUGAAAUUUUAGUAGCUCCACUCACACAAAUAAAUGGCAUUCACAAAUAAAUGGCAUUCUUUUUCUAUGCUGCUCUGUGAUGUGAUGCCUAUAAAUACGGCCCCCUCCAUGGUCACUCAGCAGUCAUCAGAGCAAUCGCUGCCGGGCAAAAGCGCGAUGGCGUUCUCCAGCAGCAAAACCACUCGUCUCCUCGUGCUCCUGCAGAUCGCUCUGUUCGUCAUGUCCGCGCUGAUCAUGCCGCGCUCCGUCUGCCAUGGAGCCCGAAGCGUUGGUUAGCUACUCUCUGAAGUCUGAACUGCUCAUCAUUUGUUCGUCUUGUGGCAUUUAGUGACGGAUCAUAUAUUCAUUCGUAGUACUACUUGUAAUAAUAAUAUAUUUAUUUGCAUUUUCAGGGCUAGGUUCCAUUGGUUACGACCCUUUUGAUCCAAACCGUCCUGUGUGCCUUGCUGGGCGGUGCCCAGUUCCUGGCAAACCCUACGGCCGUGGUGGUGGUGGCGAUCCCUACGAGAACCGCCCUGGUCAUGGUGGUGGCGGGCCUGGUAGCUACUAUCCUGACAAACCCGCUAUACCUUCUUACGGAGAAACCUCAAAUCCUUGAUUGCACGUAAUACUCGUAUGGCACGGUAAAGAAAAUGUUGGCAACUCAACUACUAGUACAUCUGACGAGACGGAUAUAUGAUAGUACAAUCUUGGAUCCAUGAACAACUAUAUAUGUCAGCUACAAUAUAAGCGGAAUAACACCGUGUAUCGUCUCAUGUACUUGUCUUUAAUACUGUACACGAAUAAAACUGAGUCCGAUGGUCGGCAGUGGCAUGAAUACGAAUGGCAUGCAGCACUUAUAUGUUCUGACUUU